rnacentral:lncRNA from 1 species
AUGAGAACAAGAUCAGAGCACCAUCGAGACUCGAAUAGAUACUGCUUUUACCAUCAUGACCAUGGUUAUAAUACUGAAGACUGCCACCAACUUCACGACGAGAUCGAGAGGCUUGUCAAGCAGGGGCGGCUGAAUCAUUUUAUCCGAAGAGCGGCCCCUCAAUAUCGAGCUUCGAGAGUUCAGCAGCCGCUCCCUCUACCUUAGCAGUAUCUCCCUCAACCUCAGCCACAAUAAGCACC